AAGGAACCUUAAAGAAGCACAAUAGGUUGUGGAGACAACAUUCUCAGAAUUUACACAUAGAGUUAAGGUUGGGGAUUGUUCGAUAUAGCUUUAAGGACUCUUCUGUGAGAAGCUAUAUCUAGGUAACAUUCUGCAUGUAUCAGCAGAACAACCAAUUGAUUUCUCUAGGCAAUAGAUGGCGCAUUGUGCAUCAACCAAUAAUGCUUUGCUGAUUCUUGGUUCUGGAUUACCAAACUGAUGGUGUAUCCCUUCUUAGCUAAACAAGCCUUCUUUGCAAUUGUGGUAUAGUCAUCUGAGUCGAAGCUUCCAGUGACAUAAUAGUACAAUCACAAGGUGUGCUAAAGCUUGCAAAUCUGGAGAUGUAGCUGAUCUGAGCUUCACGGUUGACCUUCUGCCAGGAUUCUAUCUUGUGUUAAUUCCCUUCCAAGUCUUCUGAUCCAUCCAUGUGCUCACUGUGUGUGACUGUGUUUCAGAACAAGAGCACAUACUUGUGUUAGUGAAACUUUGUCCGACAAAAUAUCUGAGGUGGUCUCCAGUUUCUUCUUCAGUGAGGACUAGGUUGCAAGUAGGCAUGAUGAAGGAUCGAGGUAUGUGGUACCAUGUCUCAAGGUGUCUCUUCGGAGGGGAGGAAGGAAACCCAAUGUCAACCAGUUCUUUGACUAUUGACCACCCCACCCUUCCCCAUGGAGCCAUGAUUUAAUGCAACAGUGUCAUUUCCUGCUGGUGCAUGAAAUACAAUCUUACACCAUAUAUGCUCCUGAGUCCUUGGCAGUCCUACCAUUGCAUAAGGAGAUGUGGUUCAUCCCUUAUUCAGAAUAACCUUGUUCUCCAAUCAGGACUUUGUAUUCCUACAGUGCAACUUCACUGGCAAUAUGUUCAGCUGAUCUGAUGUGUCGUUCUUCACCAUAUACUCAAUUGUCCAAAAGCCAGAAAAAGUUUCUCCACUUUUCACCCCGGCCAUUAC